CGGGAACUGUGUGACAGGUGCUGCAUGGCUGUCGUCAGCUCGUGUUGUGAAAUGUUGGGUUAAGUCCCGCAACGAGCGCAACCCCUAUCCUUAUUUGCCAGCGCGUUAUGGCGGGAACUCUAAGGAGACUGCCGGUGAUAAACCGGAGGAAGGUGGGGACGACGUCAGGUCAUCACGGCCCUUACGUCCUGGGCUACACACGUGCUACAAUGGUCGGUACAGAGGGCAGCACCUGGUGACAGGAUGCAAAUCCCAAAGCCGAUCUCAGUUCAGAUCGAAGUCUGGAACUCGACUUCGUGAAGCUGGAAUCGCUAGUAAUCGCGUAUCAGAUGCCGGUGAAUACGUUCCCGGGCCUUGUACACACC
rnacentral:rRNA from 1 species